GACGCACGCUGGCGGCGUGCCUAAUACAUGCAAGUAGAACGCAGUUGCGAACGGGUGAGAAACGCGUAGGUAACUGCCUCAUAGCGGGGGAGAAAUAUUGGAAACGAUAGCUAAUACCGCAUACUGUGAGAUGGAUCUGCGUGGUAUUAGCUAGAUGGUGCGGUAAAGGCUCACAAAGGCGACGAUACAUUGCCGAACUGAGAGGGUGGUCGGCCAAACUGGGACUGGGACACGGCCCAGACUUCUACGGGAGGCAGCAGUAGGGAAUCUUCGGCAAUGGACGGAAGUCUGGCCGAGCAACGCCGCGUGAGUGAAGGAGGUUGUCGGGUCGUAAAGCUCUGUUGUUAGAGGAGCGGGAACUAACCAGGAAGGGACGGCUAACUACGUGCCAGCAGCCGCGGUAAUUC
rnacentral:rRNA from 1 species